AACAUUGAGCUGUGGAUCAAUCGGCUCGUGUGUCGAUGAAGAGGGAAGCCUACUGUAUGAAUUAAGGUGAACUGCAUACUGCUUUGAACAUAGACAUCUUGAAAGUAUAUUGCGUCUACGGGAUAUCCUGCGGUCACGCUUGGCCGAGCGUCG
rfam:Schistosoma mattheei strain Denwood, Zambia genome assembly, scaffold: SMTD_scaffold0000160